rnacentral:lncRNA from 1 species
GGAGAUUUUCUCUUUGUUAUUAUUAUUAUUAUUAUUUUUUUUUGCUUUUCUUGAACCCCCAAAACUUCUUUGAUUUUUAUUUCUUGGACCCCUACACAAAUAUUUUCCUUUUGCGCGGAUGAUCCCUGAUCACCGCAUUUGAACCCCGACAACUUCAUGUCACUCUCGCUACCAAACAAUGAACCCCGUUCUCCAGAAGACACUGUAAC